rnacentral:rRNA from 1 species
AGUGAACGCUGGCGGCGUGCCUAAUACAUGCAAGUCGAACGGAGUGGCGCACGGGCGAGUAAUGUAUAGCUAAUCCGCCCUACACUAGAGGACAACAGUUGGAAACGGCUGCUAAUACUCUAUAGUGUAGGAUGAGGCUAUAUUGUAUCAGCUAGUUGGUGAGGUAAUGGCUCACCAAGGCUAUGACGCAUAACUGGUCUGAGAGGAUGAUCAGUCACACUGGAACUGAGAAACGGUCCAGACAGCUACGGGAGGCAGCAGUAGGGAAUAUUGCUAAAUGGGGGAGACCCUGAAGCAGCAACGCCGCGUGGAGGAUGUCACUUUACGGGGCGUAAACUCCUUUUGUUAGGGAAGCGGUACCUAAAGAAUAAGCCCCGGCUAACUCCGUGCCAGCAGCCGCGGUAAUUC